rnacentral:rRNA from 1 species
GUCGGGCGGUAACCAGGGAGCUUGCUCCCGGGUGACGAGCGGCGGACGGGUCAUUUAUGUCUGGGAAACUGCCUGAUGGAGGGGGAUAACUACUGGCUUCGGUAGCUAAUACCGCAUAAUGUCGCAAGACCAAAGAGGGGGACCUUCGGGCCUCUUGCCAUCAGAUGUGCCCAGAUGGGAUUAGCUAGUAGGUGGGGUAAUGGCUCACCUAGGCGACGAUCCCUAGCUGGUCUGAGAGGAUGACCAGCCACACUGGAACUGAGACACGGUCCAGACUCCUACGGGAGGCAGCAGUGGGGAAUAUUGCACAAUGGGCGCAAGCCUGAUGCAGCCAUGCCGCGUGUAUGAAGAAGGCCUUCGGGUUGUAAAGUACUUUCAGCGGGGAGGAAGGCGUUGUGGUUAAUAACCACAGCGAUUGACGUUACCCGCAGAAGAAGCACCGGCUAACUCCGUGCCAGCAGCCGCGGUAAUACGGAGGGUGCAAGCGUUAAUCGGAAUUACUGGGCGUAAAGCGCACGCAGGCGGUCUGUCAAGUCGGAUGUGAAAUCCCCGGGCUCAACCUGGGAACUGCAUUCGAAACUGGCAGGCUAGAGUCUUGUAGAGGGGGGUAGAAUUCCAGGUGUAGCGGUGAAAUGCGUAGAGAUCUGGAGGAAUACCGGUGGCGAAGGCGGCCCCCUGGACAAAGACUGACGCUCAGGUGCGAAAGCGUGGGGAGCAAACAGGAUUAGAUACCCUGGUAGUCCACGCCGUAAACGAUGUCCAUUUGGAGGUUGUUCCCCUGAGGAGGGGCUUCCCGAGCUAACCCGUUAAAUCGACCGCCUGGGGAGUACGGCCGCAAGGGUAAAA